rnacentral:rRNA from 1 species
AACGAACGCUGGCGGCAGGCCUAACACAUGCAAGUCGAACGCCGUAGCAAUACGGAGUGGCAGACGGGUGAGUAACACGUGGGAACGUACCCUUCGGUUCGGGAUAACUCAGGGAAACUUGAGCUAAUACCGGAUACGUCCGAGAGGAGAAAGAUUUAUUGCCGAGGGAUCGGCCCGCGUCUGAUUAGCUUGUUGGUGAGGUAACGGCUCACCAAGGCGACGAUCAGUAGCUGGUCNGAGAGGAUGAUCAGCC